ACAAAAAUGGGAGUAGGAAGGCAAGAAAAGGAAAAUGCAAUAAUUGUUAAACCAAAGCCUGAAAAAUAUGUGGUUUCAAUACCUUUAUUUUUUUGCAAUUUCUCAUUGAGAUGUCAAAAGAUGUAGAGUAAACAUUAAGUUUUUGAAUUUUUCUUGAAACAUACUUGCCAUUUUUCACCCAGCACUGCUGCCAACUUUCUGACUGUGUAGUACAAACAGCUUUUCAGCUACUCCUACAAUGGCGCAUUCAGAAAAAGAUGCAUGUGCUAAUGGCACCUGCACAGCUACUCAUUUAUGGCAGUAAAGGAGCAAGUGAACAUGCCAAUCAGAUAAUAUAUGCAGGCUGGAUAACUAUAUACCUACCUGCCUGUGUGUGGUACCGUAGGUAACUGAAGGCAUUGGGGUGACAUGGAGGCAGGUAUGUUCUCCAAGGUACAUCCAUUUUGUCCAUAGCAGAAAAAUAAUUUUGCAAUAGUAAUGUAUAAUCUACAUUAUCAGUAUAAGAAACAAAUACUUAGGACCACUAUGUUUCUCAGCAUCAAGCAUAGCUCACUCUUUUUCUUGUAAAAUAAAUAUCUGGAAAAAAAUAUCUGAAAUCUCUUUAUAUACACAGUUAUCUGUUUACAUUUUAAAAAAAGUGUGCAUAAAAAGUGUGAAAAAUGCAUACAUAUAUAUAAGGUUUAUCUACAUGUGUGCAUAUAUUUGCACGUAUGGUAAGUAUAUUUCCUUAAUGCAAACAUGACUACAAAGAGAAUGUUCAUCUCUGAUACUAAAGACAUUAAGGCCUAGGGGAUAUUGGCUAGACACACUGUUAGAGCUGUGAAAUAAUUCUUGCCACCAGUUUUUCUAAUGAAGACCAUCUGCCAAUAGAUUUUUUUUUUUUUUUCCAAACAAGAAUUCAAAUUGUUUUUAAUCCAGCUGAACUUUUGAGGGAUUAGCUAUUAUGUUCUCAUUACUCCUUUCACUGACAAAUGACUUUGACUUUCAGGAGCAAUUCCAUGCCUGAGUCAGUUCACCAAGCAGAAUAUUCCAUUUCUAAAAUGAAAAUUAAAAUAAAUAAAUAAAUCAAGCAAACAAAAAACAGAAAAUGAACAAUAAAAACAAAAUUCCAAACCACAAAACAAAGCAAAACUGCCCCAUCAACCUUCUGCCUCACUUAUAAGCUCAGCAUUAAAUCAUCUGAUUUUGUUGAACGUGUAGAUUUUACCUAAAAAUGAUCAGUUACACAGCACAGGGCUUAGAGGUAUUAUAUUUUACCACUCUUUUCACAUUCAUCUGAAAAAAUAACUAGAAGAAUCCAAAAAAAUAUUUCUAGUGUUUCUAAUUGGUUCAGUAAUAACUUUUAGGAAUUUAGUUCAUGAUUUUUAUUUUGCAUGGAGAAAAUAUAAGUAAAAGUAAACAAGCAAAUACAUAUAUAGUGCAUAGUGCAUGUGGGGCUAAAAAAAAAACAAAAAACGUGUGUAUGCAUUUUAAUCCAGACUUUCAGGAAAUUUAACUUACUCUUUGAAUAAGGACUUUCUGGAUUCCCCGUAACAGUGUUCUUUAUGGCAGGUUAUACCCUUCUACAGAUUCACUGUCAGAAAGCAAAAGUGGCAUUGCAGCAUAGGAAACGCAAGAGAAUCAACUGACAGCACAUUUGGCUAAAUGCAUCUAGUUCAGCUUUGCAGUUCCAGAAGAUCUGCACUUCUAAUAGGUAAAGAAGAACACUAUGUUCCAGCCAUUGAUCUACCAGAGUGCUGAACACAACCCCAUCAGCAUUGCCAGAAUUUCAGCACUGACAUCUCCAUGCAGGUGCUACACGUGGGAAGUAUGUGGUCAUAGUUUCAGCUUUGCAGAGAGAACUAAUUGACUUUCACACAGGAUCUUGAUAUUUCGAAAUCUGGGUUUAUUCCAGAUUGGAAGAAAGGCCAAACAUUUCAUAAUUGUCUGUGAAAGGCAAUAAAGCUUCAGCGUGGGAGCAGGUCAUCUCCUAGGCUUCCCCAGAGCAUUGGUCCUGUGAGCACUGAGAUCUCCUGAGCCAGGCUAGGAGGGAUCACCCUGGAAGACUUUUUCUGACUGACCUGCUCCAAAGCAGCAGCACCCUUAACUGCUGGAGUCCCAGCUGCUGAGCAGCUCCCAGCCUGCUGGGCAUCUAGAAGAACCAGAGGAAAAUCCCAGUGUCACAGCAAAACAUACCAAUUUGUCCGAACUAGCAAAUUCCUACUAGAAAAUGUUUUAUCAGAAAUUUUCUAGCCUGUUCUGUUAGUAAUUCAAGGCUGGCUUGUGUUUUACUGUAAAGAAGAUUAAUGUGUUGUCUAGCAUGCUCCAGGGUAACAGUAAUAGUGCUUGUCAUUUGGGUAUUAAAAAGGGGUGGUGGUGAGGGAGAAUAUUAGGAGAUUGCCUGAUAUCUCUCCACCCCAACCUCAACGCAUAUAAAAUACCAGGUGAAAUUCCUCUUGCUUUAGAUUCCCUUCCCAUACCUCAACUGAAGGUUAAAACUGCUUGUGACAUCUUUCACACUGGCACAAGAUUCUAACGAGAAGCAGCAUCAGAAACUGUACCAGUCUAUAGCAGGAGCAGUAAUGAGGAUGGCCUGGGACAGAGCAGACAGCCAGCAGCUGAAAUGUGGUAUUGCUGAGUGGUUUCUGCAACACAGGACAGAAGUUCCUCUCUACUGAUAGCAACAAAUACUGUUUCAGCAUGUCAAAAAAAAAAAAAAAGAGAAUUAAAAACAACUUCUGUGAAACUGGUUCUCAUAUUUUCACAAACUUCUAAUGUCACUUCAUCUUAAUUGAUUUUUAAGGAGUGAUGGUUAUGAACACUCGAACGUGUUUUCUCCUCACAAAGUACAAAAGGCUAGAUUUGGCCUUCAGCACCGCGCAGUUCCUUCCAUGUUCCUUUUAACCUUUUGUUUUGUUGCUGCUGAUACAUUGUCAAGAGAGAACAAUAGAGCAUGGAAUGCACAGAUCUAUGGGAUACACAGAAAAUUCCUCACAGACUGCUUAAUGGAAUCCUUUGUUUGUUUUUUGUUUUUUUUUUUUGUUUUCUGUUAAAAAGUGAAAAAUAGUAAGAUGAAACUUUUAAAAAUAGAAGAUUAGAUUUUCAAUCAAAUAAAUGUGGCAGAGAAAGUGUC